rfam:Oryza nivara chromosome 2, whole genome shotgun sequence.
AAAAAGACAAACCAUGGGUUUCCGUGUCCAACUUUGAUUGUCCGUCUUAUAUGAAUUUUUUUUAUAAUUCGUAUUUUUAUUAUUGUUAGAUGAUAAAACAUGAUUAAUAUUUUAUGCGUGACUUGUCUUUUUAGUUUUUUUUAUAAUUUUUUCAAAUAAGACGGACGGUCAAACGUUGGGCAAGGAAACCAAGGUUUGUCUUUUUU